rnacentral:rRNA from 1 species
AGAGUUUGAUCAUGGCUCAGAAUCAACGCUGGCGGCGCGCUUAACACAUGCAAGUCGAACGAGAAAGGGGAGCAAUCCCUGAGUAAAGUGGCGUACGGGUGAGUAACACGUGGGUAAUCUACCUCUGGGUGGGGAAUAACGCUGGGAAACCGGCGCUAAUACCGCAUAACACUGAAAGGUCAAAGGCGCAAGUCGCCUGGAGAGGAGCCCGCGGCUGAUUAGCUAGUUGGUGGGGUAAAGGCUCACCAAGGCUUUGAUCGGUAGCCGGCCUGAGAGGGCACACGGCCACACUGGCACUGAAACACGGGCCAGACUCCUACGGGAGGCAGCAGUGGGGAAUCUUGCACAAUGGGGGCAACCCUGAUGCAGCGACGCCGCGUGAGCGAUGAAGCCCUUCGGGGUGUAAAGCUCUUUCGGCAGGGACGAUAAUGACGGUACCUGAAGAAGAAGCUGCGGCUAACUACGUGCCAGCAGCCGCGGUAAUACGUAGGCAGCGAGCGUUGUUCGGAGUUACUGGGCGUAAAGAGUGCGUAGGCGGUUUUCUAAGUUUGGUGUGAAAUCUCCCGGCUUAACUGGGAGGGUGCGCCGAAAACUGGAAAGCUGGAGUGUGGGAGAGGUAAGCGGAAUUCCUGGUGUAGCGGUGAAAUGCGUAGAUAUCAGGAGGAACACCUGCGGUGUAGACGGCUUACUGGACCAUAACUGACGCUGAGGCACGAAAGCGUGGGUAGCAAACAGGAUUAGAUACCCUAGUAGUCC